UAGGGAAUAUUGCAAAAUGGGCGAAAGCCCGAUGCAGCAACGCCGCGUGGGCGAUGAAGGCCUUCGGGUCGUAAAGCCCUUUUUGAGGGGAUGAGGAAGGACAGUACCCUCAGAAUAAGCCUCGGCUAACUACGUGCCAGCAGCCGCGGUAAAACGUAGGAGGCGAGCGUUAUCCGGAUUUACUGGGCGUAAAGCGCGUGCAGGCGGAUUGGAGAGUUGGAUGUGAAAGCUCCCGGCUUAACUGGGGGAGGUCGUUCAAUACUUCCAGUCUUUAGUGCAGUAGAGGGAAGUGGAAUUCCGGGUGUAGUGGUGAAAUGCGUAGAUAUCCGGAGGAACACCAGUGGCUAAAGCGGCUUCCUGGACUGUAACUGACGCUCAGACGCGAAAGCUAGGGUAGCAAACG
rnacentral:rRNA from 1 species